rnacentral:rRNA from 1 species
CCGAUAGUGAACCAGUACCGUGAGGGAAAGGCGAAAAGAACCCCGGCGAGGGGAGUGAAAAAGAACCUGAAACCGUGUACGUACAAGCAGUGGGAGCACCCUUCGGGGUGUGACUGCGUACCUUUUGUAUAAUGGGUCAGCGACUUAUAUUCUGUAGCAAGGUUAACCGAAUAGGGGAGCCGGAGGGAAACCGAGUCUUAAUUGGGCGUUAAGUUGCAGGGUAUAGACCCGAAACCCGGUGAUCUAGCCAUGGGCAGGUUGAAGGUUGGGUAACACUAACUGGAGGACCGAACCGACUAAUGUUGAAAAAUUAGCGGAUGACCUGUGGCUGGGGGUGAAAGGCCAAUCAAACCGGGAGAUAGCUGGUUCUCCCCGAAAGCUAUUUAGGUAGCGCCUCGUGAAUUCAUCUCCGGGGGUAGAGCACUGUUUCGGCUAGGGGGCCAUCCCGGCUUACCAACCCGAUGCAAACUGCGAAUACCGGAGAAUGUUAUCACGGGAGACACACGGCGGGUGCUAACGUCCGUCGUGAAGAGGGAAACAACCCAGACCGCCAGCUAAGGUCCCAAAGUCAUGGUUAAGUGGGAAACGAUGUGGGAAGGCCCAGACAGCCAGGAUGUUGGCUUAGAAGCAGCCAUCAUUUAAAGAAAGCGUAAUAGCUCACUGGUCGAGUCGGCCUGCGCGGAAGAUGUAACGGGGCUAAACCAUGCACCGAAGCUGCGGCAGCGACACUGUGUGUUGUUGGGUAGGGGAGCGUUCUGUAAGCCUGUGAAGGUGUGUCGUGAGGCAUGCUGGAGGUAUCAGAAGUGCGAAUGCUGACAUAAGUAACGAUAAAGCGGGUGAAAAGCCCGCUCGCCGGAAGACCAAGGGUUCCUGUCCAACGUUAAUCGGGGCAGGGUGAGUCGACCCCUAAGGCGAGGCCGAAAGGCGUAGUCGAUGGGAAACGGGUUAAUAUUCCCGUACUUGGUGUUACUGCGAAGGGGGGACGGAGAAGGCUAUGUUGGCCGGGCGACGGUUGUCCCGGUUUAAGCGUGUAGGUGUGUGUUCCAGGUAAAUCCGGUUCACUUUAACACUGAGGCGUGACGACGAGGCACUACGGUGCUGAAGCAACAAAUGCCCUGCUUCCAGGAAAAGCCUCUAAGCAUCAGGUAACAUCAAAUCGUACCCCAAACCGACACAGGUGGUCAGGUAGAGAAUACCAAGGCGCUUGAGAGAACUCGGGUGAAGGAACUAGGCAAAAUGGUGCCGUAACUUCGGGAGAAGGCACGCUGACACGUAGGUGAAGUGAUUUACUCAUGGAGCUGAAGUCAGUCGAAGAUACCAGCUGGCUGCAACUGUUUAUUAAAAACACAGCACUGUGCAAACACGAAAGUGGACGUAUACGGUGUGACGCCUGCCCGGUGCCGGAAGGUUAAUUGAUGGGGUCAGCGCAAGCGAAGCUCCUGAUCGAAGCCCCGGUAAACGGCGGCCGUAACUAUAACGGUCCUAAGGUAGCGAAAUUCCUUGUCGGGUAAGUUCCGACCUGCACGAAUGGCGUAAUGAUGGCCAGGCUGUCUCCACCCGAGACUCAGUGAAAUUGAACUCGCUGUGAAGAUGCAGUGUACCCGCGGCAAGACGGAAAGACCCCGUGAACCUUUACUAUAGCUUGACACUGAACAUUGAGCCUUGAUGUGUAGGAUAGGUGGGAGGCUUUGAAGCGUGGACGCCAGUCUGCGUGGAGCCGACCUUGAAAUACCACCCUUUAAUGUUUGAUGUUCUAACGUGGACCCGUGAUC